AGGAACCAGAACAGCACAUCAGCGGGUUGUUAUUGUGUCAAGCCAGGAUAGGCUGCAGGAUAAGCCAGUGGUGUGUAAUUUGAUUUGUCCAACGUUCAACAUUAGCUUCAUAUAGGGUUAACGAUCUUCCACCACAUCCAAGUGGUGAAACUAAUGACACACUGGAAAUGGAGAGACAGGAGCUUCUUAACGAGGUAAAGAAGAACAACCGUAGGGUGAUUCAACAAAAAAUGGCCAAAACAUUCUCCUAUUGAAGGCUUGAGGUUGUGAGUGGCAGUCCAGGAGCCGAUGACUGCAAAGAGAGAUGGCCUGCUUUUUUUGUGAAGCUGAGGUCAAGGAGGAAUUUAGAAGAAUAACAACAGUUUCCCUGGAGCAGAGGUUCAUGUUUAAACUUGAGCACUACACACCAAAACUUACUGCCCUGAUGAAGGCCAAGGGAGGUGUCAUGGGGACCAAGCUGAGGCCCAUCCUGGACAAACUGAGCCAGGUAAGUUUGUUCAAAAU